AUUGAACGCUGGCGGCAUGCCUUACACAUGCAAGUCGAACGGUAACAGGUUAAGCUGACGAGUGGCGAACGGGUGAGUAAUGUAUCGGAACGUGCCCAGUCGUGGGGGAUAACUGCUCGAAAGAGCAGCUAAUACCGCAUACGACCUGAGGGUGAAAGCGGGGGAUCGCAAGACCUCGCGCGAUUGGAGCGGCCGAUAUCAGAUUAGGUAGUUGGUGAGGUAAAGGCUCACCAAGCCGACGAUCUGUAGCUGGUCUGAGAGGACGACCAGCCACACUGGGACUGAGACACGGCCCAGACUCCUACGGGAGGCAGCAGUGGGGAAUUUUGGACAAUGGGCGCAAGCCUGAUCCAGCCAUGCCGCGUGCGGGAAGAAGGCCUUCGGGUUGUAAAACGCUUUUGUCAGGGAAGAAAAGGUUCUGGCUAAUACCUGGGACUCAUGACGGUACCUGAAGAAUAAGCACCGGCUAACUACGUG
rnacentral:rRNA from 1 species